rnacentral:rRNA from 1 species
AACGAACGCUGGCGGCGUGGCUAAGACAUGCAAGUCGAACGGACUGCUCGAUUGGGUAACUGAAAGAGCGGUUAGUGGCGAAAGGGUGAGGAAUAGAUAGGUAACGUACCCCGAACUUCGGAAUAGUGUCGUCUUGAGCAAUCAAGACUACCGAAAGGGGCAGUAAUACCGAAUAAUGUCGUUCGCCUUAAGACGGACGACCAAAGAUUUAUCGGUUUGGGAGCGGCCUAUCUCCUAUCAGCUAGUUGGUGAGGUAAUGGCUCACCAAGGCGACGACGGGUAGCGGGACUGAGAGGUUGGCCCGCCACAUCGGGACUGAGACACUGCCCGGACCUCCACGGAGGGCUGCAGUAACGAAUCUUGGGCAAUGGGCGAAAGCCUGACCCAGCGACGCCGCGUGCAGGAGGAAGCCCCUCGGGGUGUAAACUGCUGUCAGGGGUUAGAAAGCCGAAAGGUUGAUCAGCCCCAGAGGAAGUCACGGCUAACUUCGUGCCAGCAGCCACGGUAAAAGUGUGUGUA